UCUAGAAACCCUAAGGGUUUACAAUUUGUUCCUUAUCUGUUAUAUAUGUUUAGGAUUCAGGAUUGGGUUAUCUCUGAGUAUGUUGUAGUUUUAGUUGGGGUUGAAGAUGGCAGCAGGGCUUGCCGUGGAUCAAGAAAUAUCGGAUGGGGUAACGCUAUUGAUGGACUUAAGAAAGGGCUUUGAGUGGUUGGAGAAGCUCAGAAAUAUAUGUGGUUAUCUGCAAGCUAUAGAUCAACUAAGAGCCCGCGAUCUUUCUGUGAAACAAUGGCGGCAGGAAGUGAGGGAUGUCGUGGAGCACAAGGAGGAUGAAUUUCUGAGAUUGUUGCUUUCAUGGGAAUGGGCGAUCUGGGUAAAUAUUUUCAGAAAAAUUUGAUAGCAAUAUCGCAAGGCUUGAGGAGAUAUCUGAAAACAGACAAGUGGUGUUAAAGGAGAGGAUAAAUGAAAGCGAGGAAAUUGAAAUGAAGUCAGAAGCCAAUAAUGCCCAGGCACUCGAAUUCUGCUUUUAGAUCUACAUGUGGUGCUGUCUGUGUGAAUGGCUUAUUCCUGUAAACAGCUACACUCCCCUGAACGGUAGCAGCUGCUUAAUUCUUCCCUUUGGCUUAUCCACAGAGCAAACACAAACCACAAUAUAACAAUCCAUAAUCCAGCAUCCAGGCCUCUAAAGAGAAGGAGAAGUGUCAACAGUGGUAGUCAUGGAGACAUACAAACAGCUGACGGAGGUCUCCAAGUUGAGAAUCCUCCAAGCCAAAAAUCCAUCCCGAAAAUGGAAGCUAUGAACACUGAUAAUGGCAGCCAAGGAGAAAGCAAUCAUAGUGACAGUGGCUCCUUUUCUUCUCUUUUCAUUCUCUGUUUUCACAGCUCUCUGUCCCCUCAAAAUAUAGCAGUAGCCCCACCAGAAUAGUAUUCCAUGGCGUGCCUCUAUAACCCUUUCCGGCAACUUUAAAGUCAAGGCAACCCCUGCAAUAAAGCCAUCAACCCUCCUUGUGUGGCCCCCACAGGCAAAGUAUUGCCCUUCUCAUCCACUCCAUGCUGCUGGGUAGUGGGCAAGUCAAAAUUCAGUGCAACAGAUGGAUGCCAUUUCCUUCUUCAAUGGUGUUCACAGGCCUUUUGUCUAGUCCAACAACCUAUCUUCCCUCUUGGGUAUACAGACCAUGUCUUAUUUGAUGAAAUGCUAUUAUUUUAUUGCUUUCUACCUCCAAAAAGGCACUUCUCAUUCCGUUAAUUUAUUUUCUAUUUCAUAUAUAUGUUGUUCACUAAAGGGCUCACUGAACGUGUUGAUUGUAGAUUCAUUCUAAACUGCUGGAGCUCAGGCAUAAACCUCAAUGAGAAGAUUUACCCUUUCCAAGACAACUUCGGGUAUAAACCUUCUAAACAGAUUCCCUGCAUUACAACAUCUCUACAGGCAAGUGAAUGAAUACUAUUCAGUUGUUUUCCUAUCACUUGGUUUGCCUAAAUCCACAGGAGUUGCAUGGAAAAUAAUCCUGGUAUGCAAUAAGCAAGGUUAUUGCAUCAGUCAUCAUCGAGGGCAGAGGAAAAUUAUUAAGAGGAACAUUUCAGUACUUGUAUAGAUGGAGGGAUUGUGACUCUAAAGAUCAUAAAGAGGAUUGAAUAGUAAAUGUUCUGGUCUAUGAUAAAAAGGUCUCUUUGGAUUGUGGAUGCUUUUGGUUUGAAUCGAUUUGAGGUAAAAGUAGUUGGUUUGGCGAAAUCAUAAGAGUUCUUGGGGAUGUGUGUUUUUGGUUCAUAAGAUUAGUAUAAAAUGCAGAAAACUCAAAUGUUUGUCACUGCUAAACAUGAUUACGAUGGAAGUUUUCUGGGCCAUUCCUCAGGAAACUAAAGAUUCAAUCAAGGACUUAAUAGAGUGGAAACCAAAAAUGUAAAGAGGCUAAAAACAAGUGUUACAAACUUACGGGCAAAAUUUACAAAGAGCUGAAGUCCUAGCAAUAAGGGCGGUGUUGAUGUGUUUUUUAGGCACAUGCGAACACAAAAUAAAAUAUCCAAAAGUAUCGUAUCCUCUUUUGAGCAAAGUUAUUCAAAUGUUGAAGAUUGACUUAAGGAUCACUUGAGACAACUCAAAGGUUCUUGUAUAUCAAGUCAUGACGUGUGGAUGGGCUCGUUGGUUUGAUGUGAUUAUGCUGGAAUCAUGAGGGAACUUACGUUGAAUUGUUGAAUGUUUGAAUUGCUGGAACUUAGAUCUUAAGUACUUGCUUGGAGAAUAAAGAAAGAGCCAAAGGAAUGCAAGAGAAUGAGUGAAUGAUUCGAUGGAAUCCUACUGCGUGAGGUUUCACCAUCAAACUGAACAAUUUGACACAAGCUCAAUGCAAUCUUCUAAGGGAUAAUUCAAAGAUGUUCAAAUCAUUAUCAUCAAACAUUGAUCACCAUUUAAAUUAAUGCAUAAACAAUACAUGUAUAGUGAUUUAAAGUUAAGCUUAUAUCAUUCCAAUUGACACACUUACAAUCAACAAGAGGCUAGUGGUAUAGACUAAAUGGAUUCUGCACAAAUGCAUUCAACAAAUUCUUCCAUUCAAUCUAAUCAACAUGAAAGCAAAUUGAGAAGUAAAGACCAUGCAAGUUGUUGAAGUAACAAAUCAAAUUUACCAUAAC